GACGAACGCUGGCGGCGUGCCUAAUACAUGCAAGUUGAGCGAUGAAGAUUGGUGCUUGCACCAAUUUGAAGAGCAGCGAACGGGUGAGUAACGCGUGGGGAAUCUGCCUUUGAGCGGGGGACAACAUUUGGAAACGAAUGCUAAUACCGCAUAACAACUUUAAACAUAAGUUUUAAGUUUGAAAGAUGCAAUUGCAUCACUCAAAGAUGAUCCCGCGUUGUAUUAGCUAGUUGGUGAGGUAAAGGCUCACCAAGGCGAUGAUUCAUAGCCGACCUGAGAGGGUGAUCGGCCACAUUGGGACUGAGACACGGCCCAAACUCCUACGGGAGGCAGCAGUAGGGAAUCUUCGGCAAUGGACGAAAGUCUGACCGAGCAACGCCGCGUGAGUGAAGAAGGGUGUCGGAUCGUAAAACUCUGUUGGUAGAGAAGAACGUUGGUGAGAGUGGAAAGCUCAUCAAGUGACGGUAACUACCCAGAGAGGGACGGCUAACUACGUG
rnacentral:rRNA from 1 species